rnacentral:piRNA from 1 species
UACACAUGGUGGGCAGCUCUGGAAC